rnacentral:tRNA from 1 species
GGUGGCUCAAUGGUAGAGCGCUUGCUUUGCAUGCCUGAGGCCUUGGGUUCAAUUCCCAGCACCA